CCUUUCAGAUGAAUGAAAGCAAAAGCAGUGGCUGGAGCUAGGGCAGCUAUUUAGAACUAUGAGGUGGAAGAAAUGUGGCGACAAUAACAGAACAGAAAUAUAGGAAUCCUGGGUAUCCGAUGACCACAGAGCCGCCAUACAAACUCUGGACUGUAAUUUCCAGAGACUGUUUGUAGAAUGAAGAUACUGUUAUUGCCUCUACAAAGAAUGCAUCCCAGCACAGAUCAAAGAUCUUGCAAGUCCAACCAUGCCAUUUUACAGUUCUGAACCUCAACCUAGAGAAAGCAGUGGAUCUUUAUACAUUGGACACAGCACUUCCCUCUAGGAUCUCUGUAGCUAUUGAAAAUGAACUGGAGAAGAUGAGUGGGUGUGAGAAGAGGGUAACGGAAUCAGAUCAAAACCUGUCACGUUACUAUGAGCAGGAGAUGAGGCAGCCGGGACCAAGAUGAUGGUGGAGAGAAGAAAAUCACUUGAGAGAAUUGAUUAAACUAGGUGGUUAGCACAGAUAGAGCUGAAUAAAAAAUUAAGAUAGUAAGCUAAAUAGUUUUACACCUGAAAAGGCAGAGUUGCAUUCAUAAUUAGUCUCUUCUUCAGACUGUAUAUUACAGCCAAAAUACAGUCAUUGGUGUGGCAAUCACUUUCUUUGGACUUGUAUCCAAGGUCAAGAAUGUCAGCCUCUAAAGGCCCCAAAUCUUAACGUUUUUAGAUGAUAACGUUUAUUUAAGGUAGAAUAAUUUAGCCUUCCGCAAAUUUCAUUGUGGAAGAAUGAAAAAUCCAUUGUCCCUCUUCUCUGCCACAGACACACUUCAGCUGAACAUUCAGCAUAUUUAUUAAGGAAACCUUCUCUUUGUGCUUUUUCUCCCAAGAUGGUUGGUAUUCUAGAGUUCUAAGUGUCAGAAUCAAGAAUGCCCAUGAGGUUGAAUUAUAUGAUGUUUUAGCAAAGUCAGAUAAACAUUCUCAGAAACAAGAUUGUGACUUUAAAAAAAAAAAACCACUUUCUAUAGAGGAAACUAUGGGGACAGAAACUUUCCUUUAUAAUUUUUACAGCUGCAUGCAGAUAAAGAAUAUGAAAAAGGCACAACACAUCAAUUGCUAAAACAUGGCUAUACUUUAAGAGAACACAGACUUUUUCCAGAUCCAUCUUACAUCUCAGGAAUUCUAGAUCAAGACACAAAUGAGUGUUUUUGUUGCUAAAAUCCCUCUAAUUUCCUUCUUGUUAAACACUUCACCUCGGCAACAGUAUAGAUUAGCACAAAAAAAUUGUUUGAAGGUGAAAAACUGUUUGGAAAAGGACACCUUAAUAGCCAGGCUAUCUACUUACAAAUAAAAGCCAAUUCUGGCUCUCC